UACGGAGGGAGCUAGCGUUGUUCGGAAUUACUGGGCGUAAAGCGCACGUAGGCGGCUUUUCAAGUCAGGGGUGAAAGCCCGGGGCUCAACCCCGGAAUUGCCCUUGAAACUGGAAGGCUAGAAUCACGGAGAGGUGGGUGGAAUUCCGAGUGUAGAGGUGAAAUUCGUAGAUACUGGGAAGAACACCGGUGGCGAAGGCGGCUCACUGGCUCGUUACUGACGCUCAGGCGCGACAGCGUGGGGAUCAAACAGG
rnacentral:rRNA from 1 species